rnacentral:rRNA from 1 species
GACGAAUGCUGGCUGCGUGCUUAACACAUGCAAGUCGAACGGUGAACAGGGGCUUGCCCCUGGGAUCAGUGGCGAACGGGUGAGUAACACGUGGGCAACCUGCCCCUCACUCUGGGAUAACUCCGGGAAACCGGGGCUAAUACCGGAUACGACCUGGUGCGACAUCGCACCGGGUGGAAAGAACUUCGGUGAGGGAUGGGCCCGCGGCCUAUCAGCUUGUUGGUGGGGUAACGGCCCACCAAGGCGACGACGGGUAUCCGGCCUGAGAGGGCGACCGGCCACACUGGGGCUGGGACACGGCCCCGGCUCCUACGGGAGGCAGCAGUGGGGAAUAUUGCGCAAUGGGCGAAAGCCUGACGCAGCGACGCAGCGUGAGGGACGAAGGCCUUCGGGUUGUAAACCUCUUUCAGCGGGGAUGAAGCGCAAGUGACGGUACCCGCAGAAGAAGCACCGGCUAACUACGUGCCAGCAGCCGCAGUAA